rnacentral:rRNA from 1 species
UGCGGCUGGAUCACCUGAGUUUGAUCCUGGCUCAGAUUGAACGCUGGCGGCAGGCUUAACACAUGCAAGUCGAGCGGGGGAAGGUAGCUUGCUACUGGACCUAGCGGCGGACGGGUGAGUAAUGCUUAGGAAUCUGCCUAUUAGUGGGGGACAACAUCUCGAAAGGGAUGCUAAUACCGCAUACGUUCUACGGGAGAAAGCAGGGGACCUUCGGGCCUUGCGCUAAUAGAUGAGCCUAAGUCGGAUUAGCUAGUUGGUGGGGUAAAGGCCUACCAAGGCGACGAUCUGUAGCGGGUCUGAGAGGAUGAUCCGCCACACUGGGACUGAGACACGGCCCAGACUCCUACGGGAGGCAGCAGUGGGGAAUAUUGGACAAUGGGGGGAACCCUGAUCCAGCCAUGCCGCGUGUGUGAAGAAGGCCUUUUGGUUGUAAAGCACUUUAAGCGAGGAGGAGGCUACUAAGAUUAAUACUCUUGGAUAGUGGACGUUACUCGCAGAAUAAGCACCGGCUAACUCUGUGCCAGCAGCCGC